rnacentral:rRNA from 1 species
UAGGGAAUAUUGCAAAAUGGGCGAAAGCCCGAUGCAGCAACGCCGCGUGGGCGAUGAAGGCCUUCGGGUCGUAAAGCCCUUUUUGAGGGGAUGAGGAAGGACAGUACCCUCAGAAUAAGCCUCGGCUAACUACGUGCCAGCAGCCGCGGUAAAACGUAGGAGGCGAGCGUUAUCCGGAUUUACUGGGCGUAAAGCGCGUGCAGGCGGAUUGGAGAGUUGGAUGUGAAAGCUCCCGGCUUAACUGGGAGAGGUCGUUCAAUACUUCCAGUCUGGAGUGCAGUAGAGGGAAGUGGAAUUCCGGGUGUAGUGGUGAAAUGCGUAGAUAUCCGGAGGAACACCAGUGGCGAAAGCGGCUUCCUGGACUGUAACUGACGCUCAGACGCGAAAGCUAGGGUAGCAAACG